rnacentral:tRNA from 1 species
CUCUCCUUAGUUCAAUUGGACAGAACAACAACCUUCUAAGUUGUAGGUUACAGGUUCGAGUCCUGUAGGAGAGGCCA